rnacentral:rRNA from 1 species
CUACGGGCGCAGCAGUGGGGAAUUUUGCGCAAUGGGCGAAAGCCUGACGCAGCGACGCCGCGUGGAGGAUGAAGGUCUUCGGAUUGUAAACUCCUUUUGUCGGGGAAGAUAAUGACGGUACCCGAUGAAUAAGCCACGGCUAACUCUGUGCCAGCAGCCGCGGUAAGACAGAGGUGGCAAGCGUUGUUCGGAAUUACUGGGCUUAAAGGGCGCGUAGGCGGUGGAGUAAGUCUGAGGUGGAAGAUUAGGGCCUAACCCUAAAAUUGCCUUGGAAACUGCAUCACUUGAGUCAGCGAGGGGAUGGCGGAAUUCCAGGUGUAGCGGUGAAAUGCGUAGAUAUCUGGAGGAAGGCCGGUGGCGAAGGCGGCCAUCUGGCGCUGAACUGACGCUGAGGCGCGAAAGCGUGGGGAGCAAACAGGAUUAGAUACCCUCGUAGUC